GUUCACAACAUUUUAUGUAAUUAUGCAGUAGCUUAAAUUUAUAAUUAUAUUUUCUUGUCCUCGAUAUGCAUGAAAUAUUUCCUGCUAGAUGUUAAGCAAACAACAAUCAAUCAAUCAGAAAGUUAUGAUGUGAAUAAAAAAAAAGUAUUUUCUAACUGUAGAUUGGUCCCUCAUAUCAAUAAGAAAUAUUGGCAGCAUCAGCUUAUUUAAAUUUUUUAAGUUAAUUAGAGGCAGAUUAAGGGGAGAGAGGGGGCAAGGGGGCCUAGACCCCUCUUGUGUGGGAAAAAUUAAGUUGAAUAUUGAGGAAAUGACUGAAGCAGUCCCUCUUAGGCAUUCAGUGCCCUGAUGAAAAUUUCUGGAUCUGCCACUGGUAAUUGGAUUUUUCAAAUGGUGAUAGAGAAAGAAUUUGAAUAACAAUAAUUUCAGACCUACAACAUCUCUUUGAUUCUUAACGUAAAUAUAAAAUAUAUAUGGAUCUAUAGAUAGGAUUUUGUAACAUAAAAGACGAACAUGAUUUUUUUUUAAUAAUUCCACAUAUGAAUUUAUAAAGAAAUGGCAAAAAUGAAAACAAAUGUGAUAAUCAGAACGUAUAACUUAAAAUUAAGAAUUUCACAUUUGUGCACUGUGUUUACAACUUAUUCGUUUUUCCUAACUGUACUAGAUGUUUAGGAAAAAUUAUCUUUACUGCAAUGCUUUUGUUUAUUGGCUCUUGUGGUUAAGUUUGAUUGUGAAAAUAUAUGUAACUAUUUUUAGCUGACAUGGUCCAAAGGGCCUGUUUGAACUAUUGCUGUCACAUGGUUCUAUCAUUCAUCACCACAUGCACCUAAAAGAUAUGUUUUCCUCUUGAGUAACUGUUCAGUUUCUACUAAACUUUUAGGAAAUUACUAUAAUUGGUCCUUUUCCACAAUAAAGCCUUACGGACCAAAUAUUGAUAAAUGAUCUUCCCUUGAAAGUUAUCAUAGAACCAAGAUCACUGGUUAUCAUGAUUGCCUUUGUAAUCACAAUAGAGUUUUGAUAUGUAACUCCCUAAAAGGAUCUUUUUUUCUGAAAUCAAAG
rnacentral:lncRNA from 1 species